GUAACAAUGAUCUUGGAAGUCACAUAGCCUCACUUCUGCUGUAGUCCUAUGCCCCUCCCACCCAGGUUCAAGGGGAGGGAACAGCAGCUCCACCUUUGGAUGGAUGGGUGUCAGAGUUACAUUAUAAGAGGAGCACGGGAGAUGGGAGAUCUGCAGCAAUCAUCCGGGUAAGAGAUGACCUGCCCCAACAAAAUGCUUACUAUAUAUAUGUGUGUGUGUGUAUAUAUAUAUAUAUAUAUAUAUAUAUAUAUCCAUAUGGUUGCUAACAUUUAGGAACAAGAAGACUCACAUUAAAUUUUUGCUUUUCUGGUUUCCGGUUCUUGGAGAAUCAGAAAAGCCUGGAACACGGGGCUCCUACCCCACCUCGCCGCCUCCCAAUGGCAGCAGUCAGGGAGAGCUGCCUCUGUCGGGAGGAAGCAGGCUCUGCAGCUGACCCACUUCCCAGGCCUCCCGUCUCUGAGGCCCAGUGUCAGUUGUCAUCUCGUCACUGUGCAUGGCUGUGUGUCCCUCACACUCCUGUGUGUCCUUGCUGGCUCGUCCCGUCGUCCUCUCACCCCGUCCAGGCUCUGCAGAGGAAGCCGCCUGGGGCAGGACCCCAGGAACUCCCCAUCAGAGCCUUCCGGAUCUUCCCGGCUAUUGGCCAAAUCCCUUUACAACACAUGCCAAGUAAACAAUCCAAGAUUGCCAACUGUACGUCGGGGUCAUCCCAGGAGCCUUGAACUAGAGCAAUGAUUUUCUCUGCAGAAGAGACCGGGGAGAGGAAGCAGUCCAGGACCGGGAGUCGGGGAAGAGGCUCUAGCCCCGGGUCUCAUGCCCCUCUGCCCCCAGGAGCUCUCUCCAAGCUAACACACAUAGCCCUUGGGCUGGGCCGGUCCCCAGGCAUUGGGGGGUGCCCCUGGGGGCCCCUGGCCCUGUCAUCUCAGGCAGGUUACUUGGCCUCUCUGUGUCCCAGCUCCUGCCUUUGUAAGACAGAAUGAGGUAAUCUAUGCAAAGUGCUUGCGAAAGCGUUCUGCUAAGUGUGAGCUAUUGCUCGCCUGUACCCCUGUCCUUGCAGCUACCCAUGCAUCUUCCAUGGAGUGAUGUGCUGUUGUGUCUCAGCAGAAGUUGGGGAAUGUGGAGACUUGCCUUGUGAGGGCGCACAGUGCCCCCACGUACCAGGCACGGUGCCAGCCUCCCUCCCCCUCCAAAGAGCAGGCGGGUCCUGCCACUCCUUCUGCACUUGGCCGCAGGGGGACAGAGAGGCCCCCCUCCCUCCGAGUCCUGGUCACUAGCAUCUGUGAUUAAUAUUCUGCAGGUUGGUGUGGGUGAAGGUUUUCCUGACCUCAGGGAAUGACUGUUACUUGGCUCUUUACUGAGAGGUGGAAACAAUUGAAGAAGCGGGGAGGUUGGGGAGAAACAGGAAAACAAGCAUCCCGCAGUUGCCAGUUGAAUUCAGGGCUGGCUGGUGCUUUUCUACAGAAAGCGAAGACAGCUGUGGGCGGGGGCCGGAAGGGAGGCCCGAGGUCUGGGAGGUGCCUGGUCCUGGGAUGCCGCCAGCCUGUGCGAGGCCUAUUGAACCUAAGCCCUCCGAGAUAAAAAAGACACACACUGGAGCUCCAAGGAGAGCUUCUGGCUCAUUUCCCAGGGCUGCCAUAACAAAGUGCUGUGCACUGGGCGGCAGAGACCAACAAAAUUUUAUUCUCUCUGGUCCUGGUGGCUGGAAGUCCAAAAUCAAGGUGUUUGCAGGAUCACACUUCCUCUGAAGUUUCUAGGAGAGGCUCCCUCCUUGCCUCCUGCAGCUCCUGGUGGCCCCUGCAGUCCUUGGCUUGUAGAUGCACCACUGCCAUCUCUGCAUCUGUGCUCACAUGGCCUUUUCUGUGUGUGUCUCUCCAUGUCCUCUCUUCUUAUAAGGACACCAGUCGUUGGAUUUAGGGUUCCCCCACCCCCAAUCCUGUAUGACCUCAUCUUGAAUAAUUGUAUCUGCAAAGGGACGCCUGGGUGGCUCAGUGGUUGAGCAUCUGCCUUUGGCCCAGGGCAUGAUCCUGGAGACCUGGGAUCGAGUCCCACAUUGGGCUCCCUGCAUGGAGCCUGCUUCUCCCUCUGCUUCUCUCUCUCUCUGUGUCUCUCAUGAAUAAAUAAAUAAAAUCUUUAAAAAAAAAUUGUAUG
rnacentral:lncRNA from 12 species